rnacentral:lncRNA from 1 species
UUCAAAGUGAUCACAUCCCAUUGCAGCUACUGACUGCCUUGAGCUAUAGAAUCACACUACUCAUUAUUCUAUUGUAAUUAAUGUAGCAGCAUAAUUUUGUUAUUGGUGUUUGGUUAAGGGUCGAAAACCCCAGAAGCGAUCACAUAACUUUGACAACACGCCCACGCAACUCAUCUAAAACUAUGUGAUAAGGAUCACAAACUAAGAGCUUAAGCAGACUGUACCAACUAGUUUAACUCAUCACAUGUGGAUGUCUUCAGAGCUAAACGUGAUGUUUGUAGGACUUCCUAUUGAGAGGAUUUCCAUUUCGUACAGAUGACGUGAUUAGUGAUUAGUCUUUGCAUUCAGAAGUUCAUCUUUGCGUGGAGUAGUGGAAACCUUGUUAUAUAGAAAGAACAUGAACUUUUUCCCUGAUAAUUGAAAUAAAUGGUGGAACCAAGAGAGUUACAAUAUCUCAAUAUAUUUCAUCUUUAUCACACGCCCUGAAAGAUUAGAAUCAGGGCAGAAGAUUUUGAGAGUGACAUUCUUGCUUUUCUAGAGCUGAAAUUAGUCUGCUUUUACACCAGCUAUACUGAUUUUUGAGGCACUAAAAAAUAACUUCAAUAACCGUAAACAUCACGAGGCUGUAAAUCUGUUUUCAUGGAAUGCUCUAGCUUCGGAUGACAAUGAGAAAAAAUGCUGGUAACUGGUGUCUGUGAUUAGAUAUGUAAUUAUGCUAAGCUAUUACUUUUAGUUCUAAUGAUAUUUUUCAGUGCGAAGGAAUGAGGAUAUCUUCCUUAGGAUAUUGAUAACUCGUUCAUUGUGCUAUUCCCUUUAGGCAUUGAAUUGGUCCUUGGAACUCGUGUAAAAUCAGCUGAUGUGAGACGGAAGACACUGUUGACUGCAAUUGGUGAAACCAUAACCUACAAGAUUCUCAUAGUGGCAACUGGUGCUCGGGUAUCUAAUUUAUCCUUGGUCCGCAACUGGUGAAACCAUAACCUACAAGAUUCUCAUAGUGGCAACUGGUGCUCGGGUAUCUAAUUUAUCCUUGGCCUUUUCUAUUGUAGCACCAUGUUUUGUUGUAUAUUAUCAUGUAUCAAGGUAUUGGAGCAGUGUGAUCUUCUGAUGGAGUGAACAAGGACUAGUAGCUUCUUUUUUAAGUGAUCUGUAGAGAGGUCAGUGGAUUUUGACCAAACGUGAAAGACAACUAUCCUCCACUUAUCAAAAGAAUAAUGAAAAUUCUGCUUUAUAGCAAUACCUUGUUUCUGCAUUAUCUUGUGCAUGUGAUUUUAAAAGUAAACGUAUACAAGCGAACAUCUUAUUUGGUACAUCAGCCUCUGGAAGUACAUUCUUUUUCAACGCGUCUUGAGAAGAAUGUCAAGAAUCAGUAGCAUGAAAUUGGCAUACAAGCAUUUUGAUAUGUGCCUUGUGCCUCCACUCUGUUUCAGAAACUAGGUGUCAAGCUUCUUAGCAUAGAUGUUAGGCUUCAUGGACAUUCAGAUGGGUAGAUUUCUUUUAGUUCUGCAUUGAGAGUUUGAAACAGAAUUGGAUUAAUGAGUGAGCUUUGGAGGUUCAUGCCAAAGGUUUUCUUUGGUAUGGACAAAGUUCAACCUCGAAGACUAAGUCCCUAGUGGACAAUGAAGGAAGAAACUUAUAAAGGCUCUGACUUUUGGUUGGCAUGCACUGUUAGGC